rnacentral:lncRNA from 1 species
AUGUUAAUAUGUAAAUAUGAUAUCUUACUCCUUAGGCAGCUUUGGGCCCUUCAAGAGGUGAGCUCCUGUGUGUCUCCCUCCUGCUCCUGCUGUACCAAGGUAGAUUCUAAAAUGCCUCAGUGUGAUCAACUUAAGCCAGUACCAAUGCCUCUUCCGUCAACAGAUUCUUCAAAUGACUGGAGAGAAAUUCCCCCAAGACAUUUUACUGAAUCAAGCAAGAGAACAGUAAAAUACUCAGAGCAAAGAGCUGGGAUCCUGACACCAAAGAAGAUGAUGUUGAGUGAAGUAGAUAGUUAG